CAAGAUAAAAAAAAUUAGCCUGACAUUUGCAAAACCCUCAAAUCUAUCAGCCUCAGGUAAUUCUCUGUUCAUCUUCAUUAUUCAGCCUGAAUUCUGAUUUUUUGUCGUCGUUGAUGUGUUGUAUAUUUUGUUAAGCCAAACGAUGAUUCGAACUCGUGAUCUUGAUCAUCGUCUGUCGGGUUGAGUCUUGCUAUUAGGCUAUCAAUAAAUCUUCAGACGCCGAAUUUUAGUGGUUUUUAGAUUAAUUUACUGAAACGAUGGUUUUUGCAUUUCAUAUAGUUCAUUUUCUUGUGAUGCAAUUGCUUUUAGAAAAUUUAUGUAGAUCGGUCUCAUAUCGUUAAUUUUUUCAUAAAAUCCGAUGUUUUAUUACUGAUUUUUAACUAAAAGUUAGGAUUUGAUAAUAAAAUUUCUAUUGAGUUUUGAAAUUUUGCGGGUGCUGUAAGCCUGUAAUCUUGGUCAGUCCCGUCUUGAUUCCGUCACUGAUCACAAACGAAAUGCAUGGCAUGUUUAGUUACUCUGAAAUGUUAGUUUUCCUCUAAGGCUCUAACUAGGUUGCUGUAAUGGCUAGUGAAGCUUUCAGGAGGUUAGAUAUAUCGAAAAUGGGGGAACCAAGAGUAGAAGAAGCACGUCCUGAGAUACCAAAACCAAAGAUCUCAUUGCAGAAACUAGAUGUACCACAGAAGAACCCAUCAGUGUCUUCACAACCUUCAUCACCACAGUCCAAGGGUGUCAAGUACAACUGCUUGUGCUCGCCAACCACUCAUGCCGGAUCUUUCAGAUGUCGACAUCACAGGAACAGUAUGUCGCGUCAUAGCAAGUCCGUUGGCACCAAACUUAAUGAGCUUGCUGGCAGCUCCUGACAUAGUCGCGGUAUCUGUAACUCAAGAAAUCAUAUGUAUUAAGCACUCUGAUUAUGCGCGUAUUGGGAAAGAUUUGGUUUCUUUCGUUCUGGACUCGGUUCCAGAACCAGACUAAUGUGUAAAGAUUUCAUAAUGUUGGUCUUUGUGAUCUUUCUGUUAUAACUGCAUUUAUGCUUGUUCACACAUUCAACUAUUCCAGUUCAUUAUUCUUUGUGCUCUUGGUGAAGAAAAUUCAGUAGUCGAAAGCAAAACAGAUGAAACUAUGCUAGUUAUCUCCGCGUUCCUGCAUAAACCGACAAACCAUAGUAAAA
rnacentral:lncRNA from 1 species